rnacentral:snRNA from 1 species
GUGCUCACUUCAGCAGCACAUAUACUACAAUUGGAAUGAUACAGAGAAGAUUAGCAUGGCCCCUGCACAAGGAUGACACGCAAAUGCACGAAGCAUUCCAUAUUUUU